AAUUUGGAGAGUUUGAUCCUGGCUCAGAAUGAACGCUGGCGGCGUGCCUCAUACAUGCAAGUCGUACGAGAAAUCAUUCCUUCGGGUAUGAGAGUAAAGUGGCGCACGGGUGAGUAACGCGUGGGUAACCUACCCUAAAGUCUGGGAUAACAUUCCGAAAGGGAUGCUAAUACCGGAUAAGACUACGAAAAUUUCGGUUUUUGUAGUAAAAGGUGGCCUCUGCAUGCAAGCUACCGCUUGAGGAUGGGCCCGCGUACUAUUAGCUAGUUGGUAGGGUAAUAGCCUACCAAGGCUACGAUAGUUAGCUGGUCUGAGAGGAUGAUCAGCCACACUGGAACUGGAACACGGUCCAGACUCCUACGGGAGGCAGCAGUAGGGAAUCUUGCGCAAUGGGGGAAACCCUGACGCAGCAACGCCGCGUGAGUGAUGAAGGUCUUCGGAUCGUAAAGCUUUGUCAAGCGGGAAGAAAUGUUUUAAGGUUAAUACCCUUAAAAUUUGACGGUACCGCUGAAGGAAGUACCGGCUAACUCCGUGCCAGCAGCCGCGGUGAUACGGAGGGUACAAGCGUUAUUCGGAAUUAUUGG
rnacentral:rRNA from 1 species